GAGUUUGAUCAUGGCUCAGAACGAACGCUGGCGGCAUGGCUAAGACAUGCAAGUCGUACGAAUCGGAGUAGCAAUAUUCCGGUUAGUGGCGAAAGGGUGAGUAAUGCAUGGGUAACGUACCUCGGACUCAGGGAUAACCACGGGCUUUGCCCUUUAGCGAAAGUGUGGAUAAUACCUGAUGAAAUCGCUGGUUCGCAUGUUCCGGCGAUCAAAGGUGGGGACCGCAAGGCCUGCCGGUCUGGGAGCGGCCCAUGUCCUAUCAGCUAGUUGGUGGGGUAACGGCCUACCAAGGCAACGACGGGUAGCGGGCGUGAGAGCGUGAACCGCCUCAUCGGGACUGAGACACUGCCCGGACACCUACGGGUGGCUGCAGUAACGAAUAUUGGGCAAUGGGCGAAAGCCUGACCCAGCAAUGCCGCGUGCAGGAGGAAGCCCCUCGGGGUGUAAACUGCUGUCAGGGUUUAGUAAGCAAGGGAGGUUAAUAGCCUCCUGCGUUGAGCAGACCCAAAGGAAGCCUCGGCUAACUCUGUGCCAGCAGCCGCGGUAAGACAGAGGAGGCAAGCGUUGUUCGGAAUCAUUGGGCUUAAAGAGGGUGUAGGCGGUCUGGAUAGUGUCUUGUGAAAUCCCACGGCUCAACCGUGGAACCGCUCGGCAAACUUCCAGACUUGAGGUCGGUAGAGGUGCCUGGAACUCUAGGUGGAGCGGUGAAAUGCGUAGAUAUCUAGAGGAACGCCAGCGGCGAAAGCGGGGCGCUGGGCCGAUUCUGACGCUGAGGCGCGAAAGCGUGGGGAGCAAACAGGAUUAGAUACCCUGGUAGUCCACGCCGUAAACGAUGCACACUAGGUUCGGGAGUCUCUGACGGCGUCCGGGCCGAAGCAAAAGCGAUAAGUGUGCCGCCUGGGGAGUACGGCCGCAAGGCUAAAACUCAAAGGAAUUGACGGGGGCUCACACAAGCGGUGGAGCAUGUGGCUUAAUUCGAAGCAACGCGAAGAACCUUACCCGGGUUUGACAUGCUUGGAUGCUCUCUUGGAAAAACUCAGGGUCCGGCUGCCUUUGGGUGAAACGGGCACAGGUGCUGCAUGGCUGUCGUCAGCUCGUGCUGUGAAGUGUCGGGUUAAGUCCCUUAACGAGCGAAACCCUUAUCGCUAGUUGCCAGCGGGUCAUGCCGGGGACUCUAGCGAGACUGCCGGUGUCAAACCGGAGGAAGGUGGGGAUGACGUCAAGUCCUCAUGGCCUUUACGCCCAGGGUGUCACACGUGCUACAAUGGGGUGAACAGAGCGAAGCGAGCCGGCGACGGGGAGCAAAUCGCAGAAAUCACCUCUCAGUUCGGAUUGGAGUCUGCAAUUCGACUCCAUGAAGUUGGAAUCGCUAGUAAUCGCGUAUCAGCCACGACGCGGUGAAUAUGUUCCUGAGCCUUGUACACACCGCCCGUCAAGUCAUGGAAGCUGGGAGCACCCGAAGUCCGCUUAGUCAACCCUCGGGAGGCGGCGGCCGACGGUGAGCUCGGUGACUGGGACUAAGUCGUAACAAGGUAACCGUA
rnacentral:rRNA from 1 species